CACCUGUCCCACUCAGUCACUGGAUGCUGGAUGUUCUGGGAAGAAUGUGAAGAUGCAGAUCCCUCCAGCUGAGAGUCAAAUCCUGAAGGAGCUCAUAGCCACAGGUUACCUGCUGAUCACACACCUCAUAGCUGGGCAGCAAGUGCAUCUUUGCAGAAGGAUCCAGGUAGCACAUCUCUAUUUACCAAGACUGAUGACAGCUACUGAUAUUUGAACAGGGAUUGACAAUGGAUGAUACCUUCCUAACUCAGCGCAGGUGCAGCCUGGUCACGGUGAUUUGCAGUAGAUUCCACUGCUGUGCAAAACAUUUGCUGCUCUUCCCCAUGGAAGUUCACGGUGACAUUGACAGUGGACUUGGAUAUGUGACUUACUUUGGACAGUGAGAUAUGAAUGAACAUGAUCUGUUCCACUUUGGGCAGAAUCUUUAAGAGCCAUUGCAUGUGUGGACACCUUCUCUUUUUCCCCCCUCUAAGAGUCCAGAGUGUCCCACAGAAGGGCUGUUCCUUCUGCACCGGUUCCCAAGUGAAGGUGCAUGGAGCAGGGCUGUGUGAGCUCCACUAGUGGCCUAUGCAUGUGUGUUGUGGGUUGGUGUCCAUGUCACUAACGCCUUUGAGGAUAUUUGUUACUUCUGCAUAACUUAGCCUAGACUGACUGAAAUACCCCCAUCACCUACAAGGCAUACAGCUCAAAUGCCUCAGGCAGCUCUACCCAACUUGACCCCUACUCAUCUUUCCAGUCCCAUCUCUCACCAUGCCUCACCUCCAUGCUUCACUCCAUUCACAUCAAACUCAUUUCUCUUCUUGAAUAAACCCUAAUCCACUGGUUCUCAGUGGGGACAAUUUUGCCCUAGCACCCGGGGAACAUUUAGUAAUGCAAGGACACAUUUUUGGUUGUCACACAGGAGGGACACACUACUGAAGCUAGUGAGUGGAGGUCAGAGAUGCUGCUAAACAUG
rnacentral:lncRNA from 1 species